GUUGGACCGUGUACAAGUCUCCUGGAAUGGAGCGUCAUAGAGUGUGAGAAUCCCGUCUUUGACACGGACUACCAAGGCUUUGUGGUGCGCUCUCAACGAGUCGAGUUGUUUGGGAAUGCAGCUCAAAAUGGGUGGUAAAUUCCAUCUAAAGCUAAAUAUAGGCGAGAGACCGAUGCGAACAAGUACCGUGAGGGAAAGAUGAAUAGAACUUUGGAAAGAGAGUUAAACAGUACGUGAAAUUGCUAAAAGGGAAACGCUGGAAGUCAGUCGCGUUGGCUGGGAAUCAACCUUACUCUUUUGUAGGGCUUAUGUUCUAGUUGACGGGCCAACAUCAAUUUUGAUUGCUGGAAAAGGGCCUAGGGAAUGUGGCACCUUCGGGUGUGUUAUAGCCUUGGGUCGUAUACAGUGGUUGGGAUUGAGGAACGCAGCACGCCGUGUCGGCUCUCCUGAAAUGCAUUAGCUAAGGUUGGGUUUCGACCACACUCGUGCUUCGGAUGUUGGCAUAAUGGCUUUCAUCGACCCGUCUUGAAACACGGACCAAGGAGUCUAACAUGCCUGCGAGUGUUUGUGUGGUAAACUCGAGCGCACAAUGAAAGUAAAAGUUGAGAUCUCUGUCAUGGAGAGCAUCGACGCCCGGACCAGAUGUUUACUGACGGUUCUGCGGUAGAGCAUGUAUGUUGGGACCCGAAAGAUGGUGAACUAUGCCUGAAUAGGGUGAAGCCAGAGGAAACUC
rnacentral:rRNA from 1 species